CAUAGCAGCCAUAUCACCCUGCAACUCACAACUGGCAACCCACUGAAGCUAUGCAGGUGUGAGCCUGGUCAGUACCUGGAUGGGAGACCUCCUGGGAAAAACUACAGUUGCUGCUGGAA
ensembl:rRNA 5S_rRNA 5S ribosomal RNA